CCGCCUAUUGAUCGCUUUGGAUUUCCCUCCGCUGGUGCUGCUGUUCUUGAGCCGACUUCUUACCGUCAGGCUGUUGUUCAUCCUGAAUGGCAGUUUGCGAUGGCAGAGGAGCUUGCUGCUCUUGAACGCGCUGGUACCUGGGAUCUUGUUUCUCUUCCUCCUGGAGUCCGUCCCAUCACUUGUAAGUGGGUCUACAAGGUUAAGACUCGCUCCGAUGGUUCUCUUGAGCGUCACAAAGCUCGUCUCGUGGCUCGUGGUUUUCAGCAGGAGUAUGGUCGUGAUUAUGAUGAGACUUUUGCUCCUGUGGCCCAUAUGACCACUAUUCGUACACUUCUUGCUGUUGCCUCUGCACGCCACUGGACUAUAUCUCAGCUUGAUGUUAAGAAUGCCUUUCUUAAUGGUGAGCUGCGUGAGGAGGUGUACAUGCAGCCACCACCUGGGUAUUCUGUUCCUGAUGGCAUGGUGUGUCGUCUUCGUCGCUCUCUCUAUGGCCUUAAGCAAGCCCCUCGCGCCUGGUUUGAGCGUUUUGCUUCUGUGGUCACUACUGCUGGUUUUUCCGCAAGUGCUCAUGAUCCCACAUUGUUUAUUCAUCUUUCUCCUCGUGGCCGGACUCUUCUUCUUCUCUAUGUUGAUGAUAUGGUCAUCACUGGGGAUGACCCUGAGUAUAUUGCCUUUGUAAAGGCCCGUCUUAGUGAGCAUUUUCUUAUGUCUGAUCUUGGACCUCUUCGCUACUUUCUUGGGAUUGAAGUCUCUUCUACCUCUGAUGGCUUUUUUAUAUCCCAAGAAAAGUAUAUCCAGGAUCUUCUUGCUCGUGCUGCUCUUUCUGACGAGCGCACUGUUGAGACUCCUAUGGAGCUCAAUGUUCACCUCCGUGCUACUGAUGGUGACCCUCUUCCUGACCCGACGCGUUAUCGUCAUCUUGUUGGCAGUCUUGUCUAUCUAGCUGUCACUCGUCCGGACAUCUCUUAUCCGGUUCAUAUUCUGAGUCAGUUUGUCUCUGCUCCCACAUCGGUCCAUUAUAGUCAUCUCCUUCGUGUUCUCCGAUAUCUUCGGGGCACGAUCUCUCACCGUCUCUUCUUUCCUAGCUCCAGUUCUUUACAGCUUCAGGCCUAU
rnacentral:rRNA from 1 species